CUUGAAGAUUGUCCGAGUCUAGAGCAUCUACAUGAUGUGGUCAAGAGAGACAAUCUUUACCCAGUAGUUACACUGGACUUAUUUCCAUCUCUGUAAAGUUUCCCAUGUCUUCACUGGGGCAUCUGCCCCAGAUGCUCACUGUUAAGCCUUCACCCUCUAAAAUCCUAGUCAUUCUUCACAGACUCAGAGACAACCUUCUUACAGCUGAAGACCAUAGCAAAUACUCCAUAUCUCCAGGGACUAUAGGACUGGAUUCAUCAUAGGAUAGACAGCCACCAGGAUGGCCGCACACUGCCAGUC
ensembl:lncRNA